GACGAACGCUGGCGGCGUGCUUAACACAUGCAAGUCGAGCGGUAAGGCCCUUUCGGGGGUACACGAGCGGCGAACGGGUGAGUAACACGUGGGUGACCUGCCCUCAGCUCUGGGAUAAGCCUGGGAAACCGGGUCUAAUACUGGAUAUGACUCCAUGACGCAUGUUGUGGGGUGGAAAGCCUUGUGCGGCUGAGGAUGGGCCCCGCGGCCUAUCAGCUUGUUGGUGGGGUGAGGCCUACCAAGGCGACGACGGGUAGCCGGCCUGAGAGGGCGACCGGCCACACUGGGACUGAGACACGGCCCAGACUCCUACGGGAGGCAGCAGUGGGGAAUCUUGCGCAAUGGGCGAAAGCCUGACGCAGCGACGCCGCGUAAGGAGUGACGGCC
rnacentral:rRNA from 1 species